UACGAGGGGGGCAAGCGUUGUUCGGAAUUAUUGGGCGUAAAGGGUGCGUAGGCGGUUUGAUAAGUCACAUGUGAAAUCUUCGGGCUCAACCCGAAGUCUGCAUGCGAAACUGUCGGGCUUGAGUAUGGGAGAGGUGAGUGGAAUUCCCGGUGUAGCGGUGAAAUGCGUAGAUAUCGGAAGGAACACCUGUGGCGAAAGCGGCUCACUGGACCAUAACUGACGCUGAUGCACGAAAGCUAGGGGAGCAAACAGG
rnacentral:rRNA from 1 species